AGAGUUUGAUCAUGGCUCAGAUUGAACGCUGGCGGCAGGCCUAACACAUGCAAGUCGAGCGGUAGCACAGAGAGCUUGCUCUCGGGUGACGAGCGGCGGACGGGUGAGUAAUGUCUGGGAAACUGCCUGAUGGAGGGGGAUAACUACUGGAAACGGUAGCUAAUACCGCAUAACGUCGCAAGACCAAAGUGGGGGACCUUCGGGCCUCAUGCCAUCAGAUGUGCCCAGAUGGGAUUAGCUAGUAGGUGGGGUAACGGCUCACCUAGGCGACGAUCCCUAGCUGGUCUGAGAGGAUGACCAGCCACACUGGAACUGAGACACGGUCCAGACUCCUACGGGAGGCAGCAGUGGGGAAUAUUGCACAAUGGGCGCAAGCCUGAUGCAGCCAUGCCGCGUGUGUGAAGAAGGCCUUCGGGUUGUAAAGCACUUUCAGCGGGGAGGAAGGCGUUAAGGUUAAUAACCUCAUCGAUUGACGUUACCCGCAGAAGAAGCACCGGCUAACUCCGUGCCAGCAGCCGCGGUAAUACGGAGGGUGCAAGCGUUAAUCGGAAUUACUGGGCGUAAAGCGCACGCAGGCGGUCUGUCAAGUCGGAUGUGAAAUCCCCGGGCUCAACCUGGGAACUGCAUUCGAAACUGGCAGGCUAGAGUCUUGUAGAGGGGGGUAGAAUUCCAGGUGUAGCGGUGAAAUGCGUAGAGAUCUGGAGGAAUACCGGUGGCGAAGGCGGCCCCCUGGACAAAGACUGACGCUCAGGUGCGAAAGCGUGGGGAGCAAACAGGAUUAGAUACCCUGGUAGUCCACGCCGUAAACGAUGUCGAUUUGGAGGUUGUGCCCUUGAGGCGUGGCUUCCGGAGCUAACGCGUUAAAUCGACCGCCUGGGGAGUACGGCCGCAAGGUUAAAACUCAAAUGAAUUGACGGGGGCCCGCACAAGCGGUGGAGCAUGUGGUUUAAUUCGAUGCAACGCGAAGAACCUUACCUGGUCUUGACAUCCACAGAACUUUGCAGAGAUGGUUUGGUGCCUUCGGGAACUGUGAGACAGGUGCUGCAUGGCUGUCGUCAGCUCGUGUUGUGAAAUGUUGGGUUAAGUCCCGCAACGAGCGCAACCCUUAUCCUUUGUUGCCAGCGGUCCGGCCGGGAACUCAAAGGAGACUGCCAGUGAUAAACUGGAGGAAGGUGGGGAUGACGUCAAGUCAUCAUGGCCCUUACGACCAGGGCUACACACGUGCUACAAUGGCAUAUACAAAGAGAAGCGACCUCGCGAGAGCAAGCGGACCUCAUAAAGUAUGUCGUAGUCCGGAUUGGAGUCUGCAACUCGACUCCAUGAAGUCGGAAUCGCUAGUAAUCGUAGAUCAGAAUGCUACGGUGAAUACGUUCCCGGGCCUUGUACACACCGCCCGUCACACCAUGGGAGUGGGUUGCAAAAGAAGUAGGUAGCUUAACCUUCGGGAGGGCGCUUACCACUUUGUGAUUCAUGACUGGGGUGAAGUCGUAACAAGGUAACCGUAGGGGAACCUGCGGUUGGAUCACCU
rnacentral:rRNA from 1 species